AAAAUACAUGAGAAAACCUCCAUAGUUGAUACCAUAGGAUUUCUGAAAGGAGCCCUAUGGAGAGAGUGGGCUUUAAUAGGAAGAACACUUUCUCCCCUGGAGGAAAAAGCUGCAUGUAAACCCUGGUAGUUUGUAGGUGUGGCAAUGGACAGGACCAUGGCUUCUGUGCUGAAGAAAGCAAACACCAGACGCAUCAGGCCAUGGAUACAGUACCACGAAAUACCAAACUGAACUUGACUCCAAACAUGCGCUCAGUUUCAAACUGGAUAUGAAGACCAUUUAAGAAUCAUGUGUGAGUGAAUUUCAUUGAAAGAGAAGAAACAUUUAAAAACUUUUAAGUCCUUUCUGAAUUGCUUAUACAUAUAUUCAGCAAUUCAGUGAUGCAGCCUGGAUGUGCACAGACUUGGGUAAUUGGUAUAGCUUCAAGUGGACAUUAUUCUUCUUAUAACAAUACUGCAUUUUCCUCCCUCAAACACUAACCUGCUAUAUUUACAAUUACAUUUGUUGCCAAAUAUAUUAAGUGGACAAAUGGGUCACUGUCUGCCUGCAUUUUUCUGACCCAGUCACAAUUCAUCAAGAAAAACAAAGUUUGGCUGGGAUUCUGAAACAAGCACACUAAGCUGUAAAUGUAUACUUAUGUUUGCAUGUUAGAAUACAUCUUAGUUACACGAUAAAAAGGAGCAGGGGAGAGGUGGGUGCUUGGAAGUAAAAAUGUGACCACAAUGAAAUUUUGACUGCAGCAUUUGAGGAAUGGUGGCAGAGCAGUUGGCAUCAGCUCUUGUCUGCAGCAGUAAUCAGGGCAAAGAAGCAAUCUUCUGUGACCCCAAACUAAGAAUGGAGUCUUGCUUUGAGAAACUCAUGCUUACCAGUUCAGAAGUAACAUGCUAUAGAGAUUUUCAGAAUACUAAUCUAUCUCAGAUUAGUGUAUUAUAAAAUAAAAGUGGACAAAUAUAAAUAAAUAAUUUUUUCAAGUCUUUAUAAAAAUAGUAGGCUAUUGCCUCAUUUUAGGGACAUAAUUUUUAAUGCCAAGUGAAAACUAUGUAGAAAUUCUAAUUACAAAUUUGUGUACAGCUUUACAAUUAUUGUAUGUGUUAGAUGUGCAUGUGUUGAACGUUACUAUAUAUCAUGCUUUGUGCUGCUCAUCGAACAUAUGAAGUUGCAUAAAACAGUCUUUGCUUUUGGGAGACUAAGUUCAGUGUGAGGGGCAGACACUAAAAGUAAAUACUCCGAUAACUGACGAGAGGGUGAAUACCAUAAUAAAGAUGCUGUUUUUCUCUCUCCUCUCUCGAGCUUCCUGUCUUUCUCUCUCUCUCCUCUCUCUC
rnacentral:lncRNA from 1 species